rnacentral:rRNA from 1 species
GACGAACGCUGGCGGCGUGCUUAACACAUGCAAGUCGAACGGAAAGGCCCUGCUUUUGUGGGGUGCUCGAGUGGCGAACGGGUGAGUAACACGGGAGUAACCUGCCCUUGACUUUGGGAUAACUUCAGGAAACUGGGGCUAAUACCGGAUAGGAGCUCCUGCUGCAUGGUGGGGGUUGGAAAGUUUCGGCGGUUGGGGAUGGACUCGCGGCUUAUCAGCUUGUUGGUGGGGUAGUGGCUUACCAAGGCUUUGACGGGUAGCCGGCCUGAGAGGGUGACCGGCCACAUUGGGACUGAGAUACGGCCCAGACUACUACGGGAGGCAGCAGUGGGGAAUAUUGCACAAUGGGCGGAAGCCUGAUGCAGCAACGCCGCGUGCGGGAUGACGGCCUUCGGGUUGUAAACCGCUUUCGCCUGUGACGAAGCGUGAGUGACGGUAAUGGGUAAAGAAGCACCGGCUAACUACGUG